rnacentral:rRNA from 1 species
AUUGAACGCUGGCGGAAUGCUUUACACAUGCAAGUCGAACGGUAGAGGGGGCAACCCCUCGAGAGUGGCGAACGGGUGAGUAAUAUAUCGGAACGUGCCCAGUCGUGGGGGAUAACGUAGCGAAAGUUACGCUAAUACCGCAUACGAUCUAAGGAUGAAAGCGGGGGAUCGCAAGACCUCGCGCGAUUGGAGCGGCCGAUAUCAGAUUAGGUAGUUGGUGGGGUAAAGGCUCACCAAGCCAACGAUCUGUAGCUGGUCUGAGAGGACGACCAGCCACACUGGAACUGAGGCACGGUCCAGACUCCUACGGGAGGCAGCAGUGGGGAAUUUUGGACAAGGGACGCAAGUCUGAUCCAGCCAUUCCGCGUGCAGGAUGAAGGCCCUCGGGUUGUAAACUGCUUUUGUACGGAACGAAAAGGUCUCUCUUAAUACGGGGGACUCAUGACGGUACCGUAAGAAUAAGCACCGGCUAACUACGUGCCAGCCGCCGCGGUAA